GAGUUCAAUUGCGCCAGCGCCAGAAGGCGUCAAAUGUUCUGGCCGUUUUGAGCCCAAGCGGCUUGCUCAGGGAGGAGAGGCCCUGCUUGCCCCAUGCACCCGGCAAGAGGGCAGCCACCUGCCGCCCUGGGGAUCGGGAGCAGUGGCCCAGGAGGCUGUGAUUCUGGAAAACCGAAGGCAGUGCUGGACAACUAUAGCUCUACGUUUAAGUAUUGUGGCAGUGAAUUACUGUGCAAGAGAGAACAUUCCAAGUUUGGAAAUGCCAUUUCAGCACGAAAACAUCUGAUUCAUCAAGACAGAAACGUCAUUUCCAGAAAUGCUGUUUAGUGGAGUGUGUAUGUAUGGAAAUGAUGUCCUGGUAUAG
rnacentral:lncRNA from 1 species